ACGAACGCUGGCGGCACGCUUAACACAUGCAAGUCGAACGAGAGAAGAGGAGCUUGCUUUUCUGAUCUAGUGGCGGACGGGUGAGUAACACGUGAGCAAUCUGCCUUUCAGAGGGGGAUACCGAUUGGAAACGAUCGUUAAUACCGCAUAACAUAAUUGAACCGCAUGAUUUGAUUAUCAAAGAUUUAUCGCUGAAAGAUGAGCUCGCGUCUGAUUAGCUAGUUGGUAAGGUAACGGCUUACCAAGGCGACGAUCAGUAGCCGGACUGAGAGGUUGAUCGGCCACAUUGGGACUGAGACACGGCCCAGACUCCUACGGGAGGCAGCAGUGGGGAAUAUUGCACAAUGGAGGAAACUCUGAUGCAGCGAUGCCGCGUGAGGGAAGAAGGUUUUAGGAUUGUAAACCUCUGUCUUCAGGGACGAAAAAAGACGGUACCUGAGGAGGAAGCUCCGGCUAACUACGUGCCAGCAGCCGCGGUAAUACGUAGGGAGCGAGCGUUGUCCGGAAUUACUGGGUGUAAAGGGAGCGUAGGCGGGAUCGCAAGUCAGAUGUGAAAACUAUGGGCUUAACCCAUAAACUGCAUUUGAAACUGUGGUUCUUGAGUGAAGUAGAGGUAAGCGGAAUUCCUAGUGUAGCGGUGAAAUGCGUAGAUAUUAGGAGGAACAUCAGUGGCGAAGGCGGCUUACUGGGCUUUAACUGACGCUGAGGCUCGAAAGCGUGGGGAGCAAACAGGAUUAGAUACCCUGGUAGUCCACGCCGUAAACGAUGAUUACUAGGUGUCGGGGGACUGACCCCUUCCGUGCCGCAGCAAACGCAAUAAGUAAUCCACCUGGGGAGUACGACCGCAAGGUUGAAACUCAAAGGAAUUGACGGGGGCCCGCACAAGCAGUGGAGUAUGUGGAUUAAUUCGAAGCAACGCGAAGAACCUUACCAGGUCUUGACAUCGUAUGCAUAGCUCAGAGAUGAGUGAAAUCUCUUCGGAGACAUAUAGACAGGUGGUGCAUGGUUGUCGUCAGCUCGUGUCGUGAGAUGUUGGGUUAAGUCCCGCAACGAGCGCAACCCUUACUGUUAGUUGCUACGCAAGAGCACUCUAGCAGGACUGCCGUUGACAAAACGGAGGAAGGUGGGGAUGACGUCAAAUCAUCAUGCCCCUUAUGACCUGGGCCUCACACGUACUACAAUGGCUGUCAACAGAGGGAAGCAAAGCCGCGAGGUGGAGCAAACCCCUAAAAGCAGUCUUAGUUCGGAUUGUAGGCUGCAACCCGCCUACAUGAAGUCGGAAUUGCUAGUAAUCGCAGAUCAGCAUGCUGCGGUGAAUACGUUCCCGGGCCUUGUACACACCGCCCGUCACGCCAUGGGAGUCGGUAACACCCGAAGCCUGUAGUCUAACCGCAAGGAGGACGCAGUCGAAGGUGGGAUUGAUGACUGGGGUG
rnacentral:rRNA from 1 species